rnacentral:rRNA from 1 species
CCUACGGGAGACAGCAGUGAGGAAUAUUGGUCAAUGGGCGCGAGCCUGAACCAGCCAAGUAGCGUGAAGGAUGACUGCCCUACGGGUUGUAAACUUCUUUUAUAAAGGAAUAAAGUGAGGCACGUGUGCCGUUCUGAAUGUAUUUUAUGAAUAAGGAUCGGCUAACGCCGUGCCAGCAGCCGCGGUAAUACGGAGGAUCCGAGCGUUAUCCGGAUUUAUUGGGUUUAAAGGGAGCGUAGAUGGGUUGGUAAGGCAGUUGUGAAAGUUUGCGGCUCAACCGUAAGAUUGCAAUUGAUACUGGCAGCCUUGAGUACAGGUGAGGUAGGCGGAAUUCGUGGUGUAGCGGUGAAAUGCGUAGAUAUAAGGAAGAACUCCGAUUGCGAAGGCAGCCUACUAAACUGCAACUGACAUUGAGGCUCGAAAGUGUGGGUAGCAAACAGGAUUAGAUACCCCAGUAGUC